CAAUAGCGUAUAUUAAAGUUGUUGCAGUUAAAAAGCUCGUAGUUGGACCUUGGACCUAGACAGGCGGUCCGCCUCACGGCGUGUACUGUCUUGCUGGGUCUUUCCUCUUGGUGAUCUGUUGUUUCGGCAGCAGGGAACCAGGACUUUUACUUUGAAAAAAUUAGAGUGUUCAAAGCAGGCUCGACGCCGGAAUAUAUUAGCAUGGAAUAAUAAAAUAGGACGUGCGGUUCUAUUUUGUUGGUUUUUGGAAUCGCCGUAAUGAUUAAUAGGGACAGUCGGGGGCAUUAGUACUCACAUGCUAGAGGUGAAAUUCUUGGAUUUUGUGAAGACUAACUUCUGCGAAAGCAUUUGCCAAGGAUGUUUUCAUUAA
rnacentral:rRNA from 1 species